GAUGAACGCUGGCGGCGUGCCUAAUACAUGCAAGUCGAGCGAACGGACGAGAAGCUUGCUUCUCUGAUGUUAGCGGCGGACGGGUGAGUAACACGUGGAUAACCUACCUAUAAGACUGGGAUAACUUCGGGAAACCGGGGCUAAUACCGGAUAAUAUUUUGAACCGCAUGGUUCAAAAGUGAAAGACGGUCUUGCUGUCACUUAUAGAUGGAUCCGCGCUGCAUUAGCUAGUUGGUAAGGUAACGGCUUACCAAGGCAACGAUGCAUAGCCGACCUGAAAGGGUGAUCGGCCACACUGGAACUGAGACACGGUCCAGACUCCUACGGGAGGCAGCAGUAGGGAAUCUUCCGCAAUGGGCGAAAGCCGGACGGAGCAACGCGGCGUGAGUGAUGAAGGUCUUCGGAUCGUAAAACUCUGUUAUUAGGGAAGAACAUAUGUGUAAGUAACUGUGCACAUCUUGACGGUACCUAAUCAGAAAGCCACGGCUAACUACGUG
rnacentral:rRNA from 1 species